CUCUAGAAAGCUAGACAGGGUACUAGCAUCAACCUUUUAAGUUGAACUUCGGUGACUCCCGACCACCUCUAGUGACU
rnacentral:tRNA from 1 species